rnacentral:rRNA from 1 species
UACGUAGGUGGCAAGCGUUAUCCGGAAUUAUUGGGCGUAAAGAGCUCGUAGGCGGUCUGUCGCGUCGGCUGUGAAAUCCCGGAGCUCAACUCCGGGCCUGCAGUCGAUACGGGCAGACUGGAGUUCGGCAGGGGAGACUGGAAUUCCUGGUGUAGCGGUGAAAUGCGCAGAUAUCAGGAGGAACACCGGUGGCGAAGGCGGGUCUCUGGGCCGAUACUGACGCUGAGGAGCGAAAGCGUGGGGAGCGAACAGG